rnacentral:rRNA from 1 species
CCUAUGGGCGGCAGCAGUGAGGAAUAUUGGUCAAUGGCCGGAAGGCUGAACCAGCCAAGCCGCGUGAGGGAGGAAGGCGCAGAGCGUCGCAGACCUCUUUUGCCGGGGGACAAAAGGCCGGACUCGUCCGGUCCUGAGGGUACCCGGAGACAAAGCAUCGGCUAACUCCGUGCCAGCAGCCGCGGUAAUCGGGAGGAUGCGAGCGUUAUCCGGAUUCAUUGGGUUUAAAGGGUGCGCAGGCGGUCUGUUAAGUCAGCGGUAAAAGCCCGGGGCUCAACCCCGGCCCGCCGUUGAAACUGGCAGUCUCGAGUUGGAGAGAAGUAUGCGGAAUGCGCGGUGUAGCGGUGAAAUGCAUAGAUAUCGCGCAGAACUCCGAUUGCGAAGGCAGCAUGCCGGCUCCACACUGACGCUGAGGCACGAAAGCGUGGGUAUCGAACAGGAUUAGAUACCCGAGUAGUC